GCGGGGUAACGGCCCACCAAGGCGACGACGGGUAGCUGGUCUGAGAGGACGACCAGCCACACUGGGACUGAGACACGGCCCAGACUCCUACGGGAGGCAGCAGUAGGGAAUCUUGCUCAAUGGGCGAAAGCCUGAAGCAGCGACGCCGCGUGCGGGAUGAAGGCCCUCGGGUCGUAAACCGCUUUCAGCAGGAACGAAUCUGACGGUACCUGCAGAAGAAGGCCCGGCCAACUACGUGCCAGCAGCCGCGGUAAUACGUAGGGGCCUAGCGUUGUCCGGAAUUAUUGAGCGUAAAGAGCUCGUAGGCGGUUCGGUAAGUCAGGUGUGAAAUCUCCGCGCUCAACGCGGAGGGGCCACCUGAUACUGCCGUGACUCGAGUCCGGUAGGGGAGUGUGGAAUUCCCGGUGUAGCGGUGAAAUGCGCAGAGAUCGGGAGGAACACCAGUGGCGAAGGCGGCACUCUGGGCCGGAACUGACGCUGAGGAGCGAAAGCGUGGGUAGCAAACAGGAUUAGAUACCCUGGUAGUCCACGCCGUAAACGUUGGGCACUAGGUGUGGGACCCUAUCGACGGGUUCCGUGCCGUAGCUAACGCAUUAAGUG
rnacentral:rRNA from 1 species